rnacentral:rRNA from 1 species
CAGCAGCCGCGGUAAUACGAAGGGUGCAAGCGUUAAUCGGAAUUACUGGGCGUAAAGCGUGCGUAGGCGGUGAGUUAAGUCUGCUGUGAAAUCCCCGGGCUCAACCUGGGAAUGGCAGUGGAUACUGGCUCGCUAGAGUGUGUCAGAGGAUGGUGGAAUUCCCGGUGUAGCGGUGAAAUGCGUAGAGAUCUGGAGGAAUACCGGUGGCGAAGGCGGCCCCCUGGACAAAGACUGACGCUCAGGUGCGAAAGCGUGGGGAGCAAACAGGAUUAGAUACCCCAGUAGUCCCUGUCUUUAUACC